rnacentral:rRNA from 1 species
CCUACGGGUGGCAGCAGUAGGGAAUCUUCCACAAUGGGCGAAAGCCUGAUGGAGCAACGCCGCGUGGGUGAAGAAGGUCUUCGGAUCGUAAAACCCUGUUGUUAGAGAAGAAAGUGCGUGAGAGUUACUGUUCACGUUUCGACGGUAUCUAACCAGAAAGCCACGGCUAACUACGUGCCAGCAGCCGCAGUAAUACGUAGGUGACAAGCGUUAUCCGGAUUUAUUGGGCGUAAAGGGAACGCAGGCGGUCUUUUAAGUCUGAUGUGAAAGCCUUCGGCUUAACCGGAGUAGUGCAUUGGAAACUGGGAGACGUGAGUGCAGAAGAGGAGAGUGGAACUCCAUGUGUAGCGGUGAAAUGCGUAGAUAUAUGGAAGAACACCAGUGGCGAAAGCGGCUCUCUGGUCUGUAACUGACGCUGAGGUUCGAAAGCGUGGGUAGCAAACAGGAUUAGAUACCCCUGUAGUC